GGGAGAAAGUGCAGGAAGCCGAAACAGAAAAAUCACUGGGAGCUCCACUAGAAGCUUCAUUGUACCAAAAUAUAUGAGCGUAGAAAGCUCAAAGGUACAACUUGAGUGUUAGCUGAAGGUGUUAUAUCCACCGCAGAGUGGUCGCCGGAAACGGAAAACUAACAUUCCGGAGCAAAUGUUGCCGGAGAUUCGGCUUUCACGCUGAGUGUUAGGUGCAGAUAUUUUCACGGCAGAGUAGUCGCCGGCAACGAAAACUGGUUUCCGAUGGAAAUGUGACCGGAGGUAGAUUCAGCUUCGACCUGAGUUUUAGAUGAAUUGUACCAAAAUAUAUCAGCGUAGAAAGCUCAAAGGUACAACUUGAGUGUUAGCUGAAGGUGUUAUAUCCACCGCAGAGUGGUCGCCGGAAACGGAAAACUAACAUUCCGGAGCAAAUGUUGCCGGAGAUUCGGCUUUCACGCUGAGUGUUAGGUGCAGAUAUUUUCACGGCAGAGUAGUCGCCGGCAACGAAAACUGGUUUCCGAUGGAAAUGUGACCGGAGGUAGAUUCAGCUUCGACCUGAGUUUUAGAUGAAGGUGGUGUGGUCGCCGCCUCGCCGGAAAGGGGAAACUAACUUCUGAAGGAAAUGUGGCCGGAGAUUCGGUUCGGAAAGAGCGACCGACUAACGGACUUGACUAGCUUUUGUUUAUUCUGAUUUAUUAAACGAGGAUUCAAUUUUAUCAAUUACAGAGAAAGUAGAGGAGAAGUGAAGUGAAAAUUUUCUACAUCAAUAAGGACAGAAUAAUAGAUUGUGCAUCAAGUACA
rnacentral:lncRNA from 1 species